GUCACCUUCUAAUGCUGACAAAGAAGUUCAGGCCUCUAAGGAUGUAGACUUUAAGUGUGAGAGAUGAGAGUUACUUCUGGAUCUAACUCAACACCAACACUCAGGAGUCCACCAGGUUAGUAUGGAGGAUGCAUCUGACCAGAAUGGGAGAAUAGUAAGUUCUUCAGGUACACUGAAAGAGCUCUCACUCUGUGUAGGUACACAGAGAACAAAAUAGUCUUGUCUACCUGGACAUCUGGUCUAAAUGAGGAAAACAGCACUCAUGGACUUCUCCGUUUGGGAAAGGGGUUGGAGUAGGAGCAGUAUAUAUAUAUAUAUCCUGUCCACUUGAAAGUCAUGCAGUUUUUUUUUGAGGGAACCUCAGAAUCUUGAAUCACUGUGAAACAUGUCUGCCAGUACCAGAAUCCUUCCUGAGUGGAGAAUUUUACCAGGAUGGAGGAAACCCUGAGCAUUCAUAUAUAUUGAACUCUUGAAGGGCACCCAGUUUGACAGGGAACCUCUAAGGCCUGAAUCACUGUGAAACAUGCUGUCUACAAGAACUAGAACCCUUCCUGAGAAGAUUAUACACUUCCAAAUCAUCAGAGGCCAAAAGUAAUGAUGAAUAAGGUGACAGGUAUUCUGGUGACCUGUCACCCCAUCAAGAGCCCUAUAACCAAUGUAACAUUCAGCAAUGCAGUUCACUCCAGGGCAGCUGUUACUGUUCCAGAAUCCCUGCAGACAGGAAAGCUAAAGAGGCUUCCUCCUCCCUGUUGACUUUGUCUUCUCAGGGAGCUUAAGCAGUUUAGUCCCUACAGAUUUCUCAACCUGCCUGGAAUGCUCUGCUAAUUCUGUGUUCCAGUACUCUUCAACGGUGAGUCAAGAGAAUACCACAGAUGUUUGCAACUCUGAUCCAGUCUAAGAUUCCAGUGCUCACAAGCAAAGAGUGGAAAAAGAUUUCUGUGGCUUCUCCAUUAAUGUUGUCCCAAAUAAAGCUCUGGAGGACUUCAGUGUGGGAGCAUGUACAGUACCUUGACUAGAGUCUGGUGUCUAGGGAAUGAAGUGUGUCCUCAUUAAGACAAGAGGAUACAAGAGGACUGCCAGAUUACAUACAGAACACAUGGUGUCCUGAUAUGGAGCCCAAAGGCUACUGAGAAAUCUAAUGCCUAUAUGAGUGAACCUGAACAUGAACAGUGUAGAUGAAUGUGGUCCCCUUCAGUUCAAGCUGCAAUGUUGUCAUCAUCUCCUGUUCAAGCCUAUGUCCCAGUAAAACUUUGACAAGGCUAUUCUGCCCUUCAAGCUCAUAUGAUGAUUGUCCAUAUGGGAGACCUGGCCUUGCAAGUUGCUUCUGUCACUGAGGAGACAGAAAGCAGAGGAGGAAUUUAACAGUGGAGGCUGUAUGCAAAAGUGAUGUGGAGCCCAGCUGUACCUGGAAGCUACAUGGUGCAACCCCUGAGCCACUCUUCAGACCUUCAUUCUACUCUGGUGUCUUCUAGUGACAGCCCUGCUAGCCAAUGACAACAACUUCUUCCUGACUCUUCCCCAACCUUGCUUCCCAGUGUUGAGACUUGAAGAGCACAGAGGAGGGCCUCUGUAGAUCAGUCAGUGGGUUUGGACCAUCAACUGCUACCACUGUUUUUAUUUGGGAUUAUGUUCUAAUUGUGGGAUGUCUGACAGAGCUAGGCUCCCAGUUUUUGCUAUGGAACCUGUUCUUCACUUCUUGGACUGUGCCUGCUCUAGUCCUCUUUUACCAUCAUGAAAGCCAUUAUUCCCUUCACAGUCCUGACAUUAUUCUUACAUACAAGGAGUAAGUAUGUAGAUUCACUCUGAGAUGUGACCACAGCUUCUAAACUGUCUAUGUGAAGUAGUUUGAUCUGCUCUUUUGUCAGUUGCUAUUCAGUAAGCAUUGUGAUGUGCAAGGCUCUCAGUAGGUGCCAGAUGCCAGGAUUAUUAGUGUGAUGAACAAGCUGUGCCCAAGGAGCUGAUGCAGUUUCCAGAGUACAGGACAUCCAGGAAGACAGAGGUGGUGAGGUAAGUCCACAUGGAAAUGGGUAAAAACAGUAAUAAAACUGUUAGUUCCCAUCCUCAUAAAGAUUGUUGGGAAACACUGUGUCUGAGAAAACAGCUCUGUAGAACUGAACCUGGAGAGAAAGAAGGCAUGAGACAGAGGGCCAUGUGACAGGCAGUCACCAUAAAUGACUGGGUCUGUUAAGUAUCUGUGAUACUGUGAUAGCUAUUUAUGGACACCCUAAAGAAAAUGUAUUGUAAUUUAUCACUUGGUGAAAUGGUGUUCUCCACGCAGAGCACAGGCCCUGGGAGUGUUGGGUAUUGCUACAUGUCAAAGGCCUGAAGUGUCCACUGCUCUUGUGCUGGUGGUGGGAUUGUCAGAAGAUGAGGAGGCCAUCCUGACAGAGGGACAAACAAACAACAGCCCAUGUUGCUGCACAUGGCUAACCAUCGUUGAUUUUGCAUGUCAGUUUCUAAGCCGGUAAGGAGUGCAGAUAAAAACUGUCACCAGAGGUAAUCCUGAACCUUGGUUGUACACCAGCACUGUAGUUGGCUUUAUCUCCCAUGCAGACACUCAGUCUCCCUCAGCACACCCUCUUACUGUCCAGGAAUUUUCUUAAGUAUAGAAAUAACACACUGGGAUGUUACAGGUCAAAUGAGCUAGCUAAUUCCUCUGUGCUCUGACCUUCUGUCACUCUCCUCUUUUUAGAUAUAACCAGCUAUUAUUCUGAUAUACAAUAAAGCAGUCGAGGAUCAUGAGGCUUUCCUGACUGAAGCAACACAGGUUGGAGCCAAACUCCCAAGGCUGUGACCAAAGUCCUUCCCUGUUUUUUUACUGCUGAGGACAGUCUGAACUGAAAGUCUGGACCUGAUCUCUCCAUGAAGGCAAAACCUCUUGAACUCUCAUUUUGAAGUGCAGUUGUAGCUAAUGCUGCUUCUGAUUCAAAAAUCUAGUUCAAUAUGUGAAAAUAUACACUUUUCAACCUCCAACCUGGAACAUUCUGUCUCAGAGAGGACCUUGUUUAUACUUCAAAGGAAAGACAAGAUCCUGGUGCUUUCCCACAAGAAGUUGCUCAAUAUGGCUACCAGGCAGGCCAAACAUAAGCCUCUGUCUGCAGACAGGAGGGCACCAACAAUGUGUCAAGCAACCUCAUCUGGAUCAUCACAAGCAUCUGUAGUGUGGAUAUCUGGUCAACAUGGUAUGGCCUCUCCCUUCCCUGGUUGCCACCAACAAGUGUGAUAUAGGUCAUCCAUUUCAGUGCCAAGAUCUAGAAUUCCGCUGUAGGUUAGGGCUGGGAAAAGGGCCAGGUAUAGAGGGGAUAGUGUUUUGUGUAAUUGGUUCUUCCACAAAUGUAGGAAAUCUAUGUAUCCAACUGUUACAGAGUACCUUCUUCUCUUGCUCUUCAUCCAUACUUCAGAAAGAAUGGUGCUCCCUAAUUUUCUGUCAGUGAAAUGGUGGCACACAGAAAGCAAUGACUUUAUUAUGGGAAUGCCAAUUGAUAUGAUUGGUACUUCCUAGAAUGUCAUUAGUGGAGAGAUGUUCAGAGUUCUGACAACUCCUCUUUCCUGUCAUCUGACACAAGACAUGCACUGACAGAGAGAGUCUCUGACCCUUGAGAGAACUCCCUGAAGGCAGUUCUUAGAUUAUGACUGGAGAUCAGACAUUCAGAGGGAGUGAAGUCAUGCCCACCUGGUCCCACCGAGCAGGAGUUAGGAGCUAGUUUGAUCACUUUGACUAAGGGAACCACCAGAUAUUUUCCACUGUUUUCUGAGGGUUGUUUAAGAGUCUGUGUGAUUAUCUGAAACACAACAUUUUUAGUUUCAUUUUUGUCACAGUGACUUGACACUUCUAGGUUAUAUUGCCUUACCACUGUGAAGCCAAGGCACACAUGCAAAGGGGCUACCCAUGUCAUAUCCACACUCAAGAGUGUAGAGAAAUAAAUGCAUCCAUGCAGGCUUGCUUACUUGUGCUCAUUUAAAGCCUUCUGCUCUUAUGAACUCUUUUACCUAAGGCUAGGGAGUGGCACUGCCCAAAUCCGUGUUUCUUCCCAUGUCAUUUAAGAUCAUGAAAUUGAUCCUUUAUAGACUUGCUCACAGGGGAACUUCAUCUAGAGGAUUCCUCUGUGAAGACUCUUCUUCCAGGUCACUUCUGCACUAUGUGAGAGUUAAAAUUAUAGAGCAUGAAUUGCUCCCAGUGGCCACCUCAGAUCCCAACAUUGAAAACUGUCAGACACAUGACUAGAGACUUCAGCUUCUCAUUCUACUUAGGCUCAAAGCUGACAUCUUGUAGGGUAUCCUUUCUGGCCCUCUCGGUUUCUUCCCACAUUAUACCUGACACUGUUACCACUCAGCUCUCAGCUCAUCACUGGGGUUUUUCCACUGUGUCAUUGACUAAUACAUUCUAGACAUAGAUAAAAACAUGUUUGCCUUCAGAUUGAUCUUUUUUUCUAUUUCCUCUGCCAGGUUUUUUUUCCAGGUGUGGAGCCUCUCCCUCCAAUAAAUGUUAGCAACUGGUCAGACUUUCAUGCCAGUUACUUCAGCUAGAC
ensembl:lncRNA